rnacentral:misc_RNA from 1 species
GAUGAAGAACGCAGCGAAAUGCGAUAAGUAGUGUGAAUUGCAGAAUUCAGUGAAUCAUCGAAUCUUUGAACGCACAUUGCGCCCUUUGGUAUUCCAAAGGGCAUGCCUGUUCGAGCGUCAUUUGUACCCUCAAGCUUUGCUUGGUGUUGGGCGUCUUGUCUCUAGCUUUGCUGGAGACUCGCCUUAAAGUAAUUGGCAGCCGGCCUACUGGUUUCGGAGCGCAGCACAAGUCGCACUCUCUAUCAGCAAAGGUCUAGCAUCCAUUAAGCCUUUUUUUCAACUUUUGACCUCGGAUCAGGUAGGGAUACCCGCUGAGCUUAAGCAUAUCAAUAAGCGGAGGA